AGCGUACACGGUGGAUGCCCUGGCAGUCAGAGGCGAUGAAGGACGUGCUAAUCUGCGAUAAGCGUCGGUGAGGUGAUAUGAACCGUUAUAACCGGCGAUUUCCGAAUGGGGAAACCCAGUGUGUUUCGACACACUAUCAUUAACUGAAUCCAUAGGUUAAUGAGGCGAACCGGGGGAACUGAAACAUCUAAGUACCCCGAGGAAAAGAAAUCAACCGAGAUUCCCCCAGUAGCGGCGAGCGAACGGGGAGGAGCCCAGAGCCUGAAUCAGUGUGUGUGUUAGUGGAAGCGUCUGGAAAGGCGCGCGAUACAGGGUGACAGCCCCGUACACAAAAAUGCACAUACUGUGAGCUCGAUGAGUAGGGCGGGACACGUGGUAUCCUGUCUGAAUAUGGGGGGACCAUCCUCCAAGGCUAAAUACUCCUGACUGACCGAUAGUGAACCAGUACCGUGAGGGAAAGGCGAAAAGAACCCCGGCGAGGGGAGUGAAAAAGAACCUGAAACCGUGUACGUACAAGCAGUGGGAGCCUCUUAAUGGGGUGACUGCGUACCUUUUGUAUAAUGGGUCAGCGACUUAUAUUCUGUAGCAAGGUUAACCGAAUAGGGGAGCCGAAGGGAAACCGAGUCUUAACUGGGCGUUAAGUUGCAGGGUAUAGACCCGAAACCCGGUGAUCUAGCCAUGGGCAGGUUGAAGGUUGGGUAACACUAACUGGAGGACCGAACCGACUAAUGUUGAAAAAUUAGCGGAUGACUUGUGGCUGGGGGUGAAAGGCCAAUCAAACCGGGAGAUAGCUGGUUCUCCCCGAAAGCUAUUUAGGUAGCGCCUCGUGAAUUCAUCUCCGGGGGUAGAGCACUGUUUCGGCAAGGGGGUCAUCCCGACUUACCAACCCGAUGCAAACUGCGAAUACCGGAGAAUGUUAUCACGGGAGACACACGGCGGGUGCUAACGUCCGUCGUGAAGAGGGAAACAACCCAGACCGCCAGCUAAGGUCCCAAAGUCAUGGUUAAGUGGGAAACGAUGUGGGAAGGCCCAGACAGCCAGGAUGUUGGCUUAGAAGCAGCCAUCAUUUAAAGAAAGCGUAAUAGCUCACUGGUCGAGUCGGCCUGCGCGGAAGAUGUAACGGGGCUAAACCAUGCACCGAAGCUGCGGCAGCGACACUAUGUGUUGUUGGGUAGGGGAGCGUUCUGUAAGCCUGUGAAGGUGGCCUGUGAGGGUUGCUGGAGGUAUCAGAAGUGCGAAUGCUGACAUAAGUAACGAUAAAGCGGGUGAAAAGCCCGCUCGCCGGAAGACCAAGGGUUCCUGUCCAACGUUAAUCGGGGCAGGGUGAGUCGACCCCUAAGGCGAGGCCGAAAGGCGUAGUCGAUGGGAAACAGGUUAAUAUUCCUGUACUUGGUGUUACUGCGAAGGGGGGACGGAGAAGGCUAUGUUGGCCGGGCGACGGUUGUCCCGGUUUAAGCGUGUAGGCUGGUUUUCCAGGCAAAUCCGGAAAAUCAAGGCUGAGGCGUGAUGACGAGGCACUACGGUGCUGAAGCGACAAAUGCCCUGCUUCCAGGAAAAGCCUCUAAGCAUCAGGUAACAUCAAAUCGUACCCCAAACCGACACAGGUGGUCAGGUAGAGAAUACCAAGGCGCUUGAGAGAACUCGGGUGAAGGAACUAGGCAAAAUGGUGCCGUAACUUCGGGAGAAGGCACGCUGAUAUGUAGGUGAAGCGACUUGCUCGUGGAGCUGAAAUCAGUCGAAGAUACCAGCUGGCUGCAACUGUUUAUUAAAAACACAGCACUGUGCAAACACGAAAGUGGACGUAUACGGUGUGACGCCUGCCCGGUGCCGGAAGGUUAAUUGAUGGGGUUAGCGGUAACGCGAAGCUCUUGAUCGAAGCCCCGGUAAACGGCGGCCGUAACUAUAACGGUCCUAAGGUAGCGAAAUUCCUUGUCGGGUAAGUUCCGACCUGCACGAAUGGCGUAAUGAUGGCCAGGCUGUCUCCACCCGAGACUCAGUGAAAUUGAACUCGCUGUGAAGAUGCAGUGUACCCGCGGCAAGACGGAAAGACCCCGUGAACCUUUACUAUAGCUUGACACUGAACAUUGAGCCUUGAUGUGUAGGAUAGGUGGGAGGCUUUGAAGUGUGGACGCCAGUCUGCAUGGAGCCGACCUUGAAAUACCACCCUUUAAUGUUUGAUGUUCUAACGUGGGCCCCUUACCGGGGUUGCGGACAGUGUCUGGUGGGUAGUUUGACUGGGGCGGUCUCCUCCUAAAGAGUAACGGAGGAGCACGAAGGUUGGCUAAUCCUGGUCGGACAUCAGGAGGUUAGUGCAAUGGCAUAAGCCAGCUUGACUGCGAGCGUGACGGCGCGAGCAGGUGCGAAAGCAGGUCAUAGUGAUCCGGUGGUUCUGAAUGGAAGGGCCAUCGCUCAACGGAUAAAAGGUACUCCGGGGAUAACAGGCUGAUACCGCCCAAGAGUUCAUAUCGACGGCGGUGUUUGGCA
rnacentral:rRNA from 1 species